CCGAGUCCAUGAUGAUGUCAAGUUAUCCCUGUCUGAAGGCACAGAAGGGCCUUUCUGGGUGGAAUUUGGAUUUCUGAGACUCGG
ensembl:snoRNA small nucleolar RNA, C/D box 1B